rnacentral:lncRNA from 1 species
UUGUAUGCCGGAAGGGAUAAAUCUGGGGCUGAGUACAAGCAAAACAAGACCAAAGGAAGCUACCUGAGCAGUCACUGGAGCCCUAAUGAUCGCAGCCAUUUCAGGAAAUGCCAUCAAUUACAGUGAGGAGCUCAUUCAGAAGUGAAAGAUGAGUUCCAUUCUCUGUUACUUAGAGGAACACAAUUAUUUCUGGAAAGAGUAUUACACUCAGUAUUCUGCAUUUCAUAUGGCAUUUCAAAGUCCUGAGAAUGACUCUCCGUAGUCUUCUAUGUACUAAUUAAACAUGAACAUGUGGUAAACAACAUGGACUAUUCCAGUGGACAGAAAGCGUCAAGUUAAAAUGUUUAAGUGCCCCAUAUUUUUCUAAGUAUUCUUAUCCAGUUGGUCUGACUGGUCAUUAUCUGUUUUGUAAAACUUCCCAAACAACUCAUCAAUAUUUAAAUAGCUAUCCAAAUUAUAAACUUCAAAUAGCAGAAUCCAAAUGUCAUUUAUGCAUAAUUCAAAAGAACUUUGCUGAAAACAAUCUUUGGAUUACAAUUGCUCUCUAAUCCACCUCUUGAAUUUCUACAUAAGAAUUCAAUGCCAAUGCAAUUCAAAUCAAUUCAUUCAUGGUUGAUGUUAAAACUUCCUUUAAGAGGAUAGUAUGGCAGAAACAAAACUGAAUUUGAACAAGAGGGAAACUGCAGAAGAUAAACAUUUUUUCUGUAGAAAGUUUCCAACUUUUACAUUUUUGUGGUAAUUUUUAACAUUAUAGGUAUAAUUAAAUUAUCACUAAAGUUAUAUCUAUUAAUCCUAAGUGGUUUAAAAUAAUUUCUCUGUUCAAACUGAUGCAGCUCGCUAUUACAAUUUAAUAUAAUUUUUUCAAACUAUAAUUGAUUUCUAAGACUAGUAAAAUUUUUGAGCUACCAUUAACCCCAAAAUAUCUGGAAAAAGAAAAUCAUCAUAGGUAACUCCUGAUGACUCCUACCUCUUUCAGUCACAUACUUAGCAUUAUCUGCUGUACAGGUUUAAAGAAUGUUGGUCACAGGAUUGAAGUGAAUAUUUCAUUUAUGUGUAGCCAAAAUAUUAUCAUAUGAAGCCCAAAAGAAGAGUAAAAUACAUCCUUGUGAUAUUAUUAACAUGACUUUGUGCCAGACAAAGCAUAGUUACUCUACAGAUGGAUUAUGAAUAGAGAAAAAGUGUGUAGUUGAAUUCUUUGGAAUUAUGGACUAUAUUCCAUAAAUCCCAGAUGGAGUCACUAUGAUUAAUGUUACCUCAAUGAAUACAAAAUGAAUAAAUAAUUAUCCUCCACUUACUGUAAAG